rnacentral:rRNA from 1 species
AACAGGGAUUCCCCCAGUAAUGGGCGAAUGAAGAGGGAAUAGCUCAAAUUGAAAAUCUCCGUUGUGUUGCAACGGCGAAUUGUAGUUUCGAGAAGUACUUUCCCGGCAUGUCGGGCUUGCCUAAGUUGCUUGGAACAGCACGUCAUAGAGGGUGACAACCCCGUAUGUGGCAUCGCCCGGAUGCUUGCGAUGUACUUUCAAAGAGUCGGGUUGUUUGGGAAUGCAGCCCAAAAUGGGUGGUAAACUCCAUCUAAAGCUAAAUAUUGGCACGAGACCGAUAGCAAACAAGUACCGUGAGGGAAAGAUGAAAAGGACUUUGAAAAGAGAGUUAAAAAGUACGUGAAACCGUUGAAAGGGAAGCGAAUGGAGUUAGCAAUUCGUUUGUCAGAUUCAGUUGCAUGCACGCAACGACGUGCGCGCCCUUGAUCCGCAUGGACAAGGCGUGUCCGGAUGUGACGUGCAAGCAGCGCACUUCUGGCAGGCGAGCGUCAGCGUCGGUUGUUGUGGAGCGAAAAAGUUGCGGGGAAGGUAGGCGAAUUCUCGUUGUUAAGCCCUGCAUUCGCAUAUCUC